AAUGAGAUUAGGUGUCCUUAUAAUAGGUCUUGUUAGAGGAAGUUCAUCCCUUUUUGCCUCUACCAUGUGAGGAUACAUCUCUUCUUCCCCCCAGGAGUUGCGGCAUUGAAGGCACCAUCUUGGAAGCAGAGACUAGACCCUCACCAAGCAAUUAACACGCUGUUGCAUUGUUCUUGGACUUUCCAGCCUCCAGAACUACUUUUAAGGUGGAAUCUCAAUUCAUCUCUUCUAUGAAACUUUCAUGAUUCAAAGGGAAGUCCCUGCAUGGGCACUGCCAGCUUCAUUGCACUUCUGCCUCUAUGCUUUUUCCUGAACCUUCUCCACCUCUGGAACGUACUUCAGGCUGCACAGGAAGCAUGGCUGGGGAGGCCUCAGGAAACUGACAAUCAUCAGUAGAAGAUGAAGAGGAAGGAGGCACUUCUUACAUGGCCAGAGAAGGAGGAAGAGAAAGAAGGGGGAAGUGCUACACCCUUCUAAACAACGAGAUCACGUGAGAACUCACUGUCAUGAGAAUAGCAGGGGGAAAAUCUGCCCCCAGGAUCCAAUCACCUCCCACCAGGCCCCUCCUCCAACAUUGGGGAUUACAAUUUGCCAUGAGAUUUGGAUGGGGACACAGAGCUAAACCAUAUCAGGUGACUAGUUAGUAGUUUUUUUCUUUUACACAAAAGCUAGUGUUGACAUAAAUUAUCACAGCAUCAAAGAUACCUAGAAAUAAACCAAUCAAAAUAUGUACAGGAUAUCAAAGUCAGGUCUAAAUAUUAUUGAAAGAAAUUGAAGAAGACCUAAAUAAAUUAAAAAAUACAUCACUUUUAUGAACUGGAAGGAUCUCAUCACUGUAAAUAAGUCAAACCUCUCCAAAUUGAUCUACAGAAUCAAUAUAAUGCCAAUCUAAAUCCCAGGAAGGUGUUUUGAGGAAAUUGACAGGCUGAUUCAAAAACUAAUACAGAUAUGUCAAGUCUUAACAGUAACAGAGACAAUCUUGAAGAAAAAUGAAGUGGGAGGAUAUCGUGACUCACUUUUAAAAGUGCACCAAGUGGCACUGGUCAUGGGAUAGACAAAUGGACCAAUAAAAAGGACUGAAAAUCUGGAAACAGAUCCACGCAUAUAUGUAUACUUGAUUUAUGACAUAGGGCAUCAUGGGGAAAGGAUAAUCCCUUAAUAAAUGACACUGGUUCAAUUACAUAUUCAUAUGGAAAAAAAUCUUGAUCCCUACCACACACUAUACACAAAUAUCAAUUCCAAAUGUGAAAGGCAAAACAAUAAAUCUUCUAGAGGGUUUGGCAAACUUUUUCUGUAAAGAGCCAGAGAAUAAACAUUCUGGGCUUUGUGUGCCAUAAGGUCUGUUGUAACACAAAAGUAGUCAUGGGUGAUGUGUAAAUGAAUGAGCAUGACUGCAUCCCAAUAAAACUUUAUUUACAAAAACAGUUGGCAGAAUGGAGUUGGAUCACAGUCCAUAGUUUGCCAACCCCUGUUCUAGAAGUUAACAUGGGAGAAUAUCUUUAUGAUCUUAGAAGAUUUUUAAAUAGUCACAAAAUGUCCUAAUCAAAAAGGCAAAGAUACAUUGUGGUCCUUUAAUUUUAAGACGUUCUGUUCACCCCAAAAUACCAUUAAAGUACUGAAGAGGCAGUCGACAUAGUGGGAGACAUUAUUUGCAACACAUAUAACGCAUGUCCAGAAUAUGUGAUAACUACAAAUCAAUAAGGAAGACAAAUAACCCAAUGCCAUGUUCAGACACUUCACCAAAGGUAGCCAAAUUGCCAAUUAACAUUUUCAGAGUUACUCAACUGUAUCAGUCUUCAGGAAAAUAAAAAUUAAUUAAAACCACAAUGACAUGCCACUACACACCUACUGGAACGAUCAUAAUUUAAAAGCCUGACAAUACCAAAUGUUUGUUAGCAAGGAUUUUGAACAUACACACUGUUGGUGGAAGCAUAAACUGGCACAUUUCCACUUUGGAAAACUCUUUGGCAAGUUUCCUCUAACGCUGAGUACUACGUGCAUAAUUUCUGACUCAGCAAUUCUACUUGCAGAUAUGUACUCCCACAGAAAUGUACACAAAAGACAUGUAUAAGAAUGUUUGUGGCAGCAUUAUUCAUAAUAACCUCAAAUUUUAAACAACCUAAAUGUCCAUUAAAUGGACAGUUGAAUGGGUAAAUAACUCAUAGUAUAUUUAUAGAAUGGAAAACUAUUCAGCAAUAAAAAUACAUGAACUCCUAUUACAUGCAAAUCUACUAAAACUUUCAAAUGUAACAGUAAGUGAAAGUCACCAGACCUGAAAGAAUACAGAAUGUAUCAUUCCAUGUGGCUCAAAUGCAAAUAAAACUAACCUAUGGCGUUAUAAGUCAGGACAGUGGUAACCUCUGGAGAGAAAGAAGAGCAUGAUAAAUUGGAGGGAAUAUUCAGUGGGUUUCUUGGGUGCUGAUAAUGCUCUAUUCUUUAACCUGAGUGGCACUUACACAGGUACAUUCAUUUUGUGAUAGCUCACUGGACUAUAUACUUAGGAUCUAUGUACUUUUCUGUAUAUAUGCAAUACUUCAUUUAAAGGUUUCAGAAAUCUAUGGAAGAAAAAAAAAAGCCACUGCCUCCUGUUCCAACUAUAUAUUUCAAUCCCCAGAGCAGGUCAGACACAAUAGCUGUACAGAUGCUUAGGUAGCACUGAAAUGCUACUGGACAAAGAAACAUGGCUUGCAAGUGUUCACACGGUCUCCUUACACUGGCUCAAAGACCCAACUGGCUCUAAUACAUUAAACUUAAAAGGUCACCAGGCCUGGUGACCACCUCACAGACGGAAUAGAUUCUAGAUACACCCAGAG